GACAUAUUUGGUUGUUGUUUUUAAAUUUUCCUUUCCUGAUACAGAGAAGAUUAGCAUGGUCCCUGUGCAAGGAUGACACGCAAAUUUGUGAAGCGGUCCAUAUUUAU